AGAGAGAGACAUGCGCGCAUAUCAAUAAGCGGAGGAAAAGAAACUAACUAGGAUUCCCUCAGUAACGGCGAGUGAAGCGGGAAGAGCUCAAAUUUGAAAUCUUCAAGGGUUCUACCUUUACGAAUUGUAGUUUAAAGAAGUGUUUUCUGUUGAGGUUUUGGUAAAAGUUCUUUGGAAUAGGACAUCAUAGAGGGUGAGAAUCCCGUAUUUGACCAUUAUUUCCAGCUUUGUGAUACACUUUCAAAGAGUCGGAUUGUUUGGGAAUGCAGUCCAAAAUGGGUGGUAAAUUUCAUCUAAAGCUAAAUAUUGGCGAGAGACCGAUAGCGAACAAGUACCGUGAGGGAAAGAUGAAAAGAACUUUGAAAAGAGAGUUAAACAGUACGUGAAAUUGUCAAAAGGGAAGCGUUUGACACCAGUGUUGUUUUCUCGAAAAUCAAUUAAAAAAGGCAGGAUUUUGUGUUGUAUUGACUUUAUCAGCUUUCUGCACUCUUUUCUUGUCUUUUUUAAUGCACUUUUCGUUUAACAAGUCAACAUCAAUUUCUUUUGUUGUAAAAGGGUCAUUGGAAGGUGGCUUUCUUUUCGGAGAAAGUGUUUAUAGCCUUUGGCCUCUGCAAUCGGAGAGAUUGAGGUCUGCAGCGUAGAUCCUUCGGGGUUAGAUACAUUUGUGCUAAGUUAUAGCCUUUCAUAGACAACUUGUUGACUAUGAUCAGUCAUGUAGCUUACUCGCUUAUGCUAUUUUACCUACGCUUAGGAUGUUGAUGUGAUACUGCGAGC
rnacentral:rRNA from 1 species